rnacentral:rRNA from 1 species
GACGAACGCUGGCGGCGUGCUUAACACAUGCAAGUCGAACGGAAAGGCCCUGCUUGUGUGGGGUGCUCGAGUGGCGAACGGGUGAGUAACAUGGGAGUAACCUGCCCUUGACGUUGGGAUAACUUCAGGAAACUGGGGCUAAUACCGGAUAGGAGCUCCUGCUGCAUGGUGGGGGUUGGAAAGUUUCGGCGGUUGGGGAUGGACUCGCGGCUUAUCAGCUUGUUGGUGGGGUAGUGGCUUACCAAGGCUUUGACGGGUAGCCGGCCUGAGAGGGUGACCGGCCACAUUGGGACUGAGGUACGGCCCAGACUCCUACGGGAGGCAGCAGUGGGGAAUAUUACACAAUGAGCGGAAGCCUGAUACAGCGACGCCGCGUGCGGGAUGACGGCCUUCGGGUUGUAAACCGCUUUCGCCUGUGACGAAGCGUGAGUGACGGUAAUAGGUAAAGAAGCACCGGCUAACUACGUG